GAUGAACGCUGGCGGCGUGCCUAAUACAUGCAAGUCGAGCGAACGGACGAGAAGCUUGCUUCUCUGAUGUUAGCGGCGGACGGGUGAGUAACACGUGGAUAACCUACCUAUAAGACUGGGAUAACUUCGGGAAACCGUAGCUAAUACCGGAUAAUAUUUUGAACCGCAUGGUUCAAAAGUGAAAGACGGUCUUGCUGUCACUUAUAGAUGGAUCCGCGCUGCAUUAGCUAGUUGGUAAGGUAACGGCUUACCAAGGCAACGAUGCAUAGCCGACCUGAGAGGGUGAUCGGCCACACUGGAACUGAGACACGGUCCAGACUCCUACGGGAGGCAGCAGUAGGGAAUCUUCCGCAAUGGGCGAAAGCCUGACGGAGCAACGCCGCGUGAGUGAUGAAGGUCUUCGGAUCGUAAAACUCUGUUAUUAGGGAAGAACAUAUGUGUAAGUAACUGUGCACAUCUUGACGGUACCUAAUCAGAAAGCCACGGCUAACUCCG
rnacentral:rRNA from 1 species